rnacentral:rRNA from 1 species
AUGAACGCUAGCGGCAGGCUUAACACAUGCAAGUCGAGGGGCAGCGGGGAGUAGCAAUACUCCGCCGGCGACCGGCGCACGGGUGCGUAACGCGUAUGCAACCUACCUUUAACAGGGGCAUAACACUGAGAAAUUGGUACUAAUUCCCCAUAACAUUCGAGAAGGCAUCUUCUUGGGUUAAAAACUCCGGUGGUUAAAGAUGGGCAUGCGUUGUAUUAGCUAGUUGGUGAGGUAACGGCUCACCAAGGCGACGAUACAUAGGGGGACUGAGAGGUUAACCCCCCACAUUGGUACUGAGACACGGACCAAACUCCUACGGGAGGCAGCAGUGAGGAAUAUUGGUCAAUGGACGCAAGUCUGAACCAGCCAUGCCGCGUGCAGGAAGACGGCUCUAUGAGUUGUAAACUGCUUUUGUACUAGGGUAAACGCUCUUACGUGUAGGAGCCUGAAAGUAUAGUACGAAUAAGGAUCGGCUAACUCCGUGCCAGCAGCCGCGGUAAUACGGAGGAUCCAAGCGUUAUCCGGAUUUAUUGGGUUUAAAGGGUGCGUAGGCGGUUUGAUAAGUUAGAGGUGAAAUACCGGGGCUCAACUCCGGAACUGCCUCUAAUACUGUUGAACUAGAGAGUAGUUGCGGUAGGCGGAAUGUAUGGUGUAGCGGUGAAAUGCUUAGAGAUCAUACAGAACACCGAUUGCGAAGGCAGCUUACCAAACUAUAUCUGACGUUGAGGCACGAAAGCGUGGGGAGCAAACAGGAUUAGAUACCCUGGUAGUCCACGCAGUAAACGAUGAUAACUCGUUGUCGGCGAUACACAGUCGGUGACUAAGCGAAAGCGAUAAGUUAUCCACCUGGGGAGUACGUUCGCAAGAAUGAAACUCAAAGGAAUUGACGGGGGCCCGCACAAGCGGUGGAUUAUGUGGUUUAAUUCGAAGCAACGCGAAGAACCUUACCUGAUCUUGACAUCCUGAUGACCGCUCCGUAAUGGGAGUUUUUCUUCGGAACAUCAGAGACAGGUGGUGCAUGGUUGUCGUCAGCUCGUGCCGUGAGGUGUCGGGUUAAGUCCCAUAACGAGCGCAACCCCUACCGUUAGUUGCCAUCAGGUCAAGCUGGGCACUCUGGCGGGACUGCCGGUGUAAGCCGAGAGGAAGGUGGGGAUGACGUCAAAUCAGCACGGCCCUUACGUCCGGGGCUACACACGUGUUACAAUGGUAGGUACAGAGGGCCGCUACCCCGCGAGGGGAUGCCAAUCUCGAAAGCCUAUCUCAGUUCGGAUCGGAGGCUGAAACCCGCCUCCGUGAAGUUGGAUUCGCUAGUAAUCGCGCAUCAGCCAUGGCGCGGUGAAUACGUUCCCGGGCCUUGUACACACCGCCCGUCAAGCCAUGGAAGCUGGGGGUGCCUGAAGUUCGUGACCGCAAGGAGCGACCUAGGGCAAAACCGGUGACUGGGGCU